UACAUUUGCACCCCCUUUCCUCUUUAGUUAUUUUAUUUUAUUUUUUAUUUUUUUUCUAGAUCAAGCCCAUAUGUUUUUUUAUAUGCUCCCCUUUUGCAUGCUUAUACCCCUCCCUUUGUGUUUUAUUUUUAUUUGUAUUCUAUUUCCAUUAUUUUAUUUUUAUUUUCAUUUUUUUAUUUCGUUAAUUAAUUAAUUAAAUAAAUUGUGAAUAAAAUCAACCUUUUUAAGAAAAAUAAUGAAAUACUUGAUCAACAUCAAGUGUUUUUUUCCUUUCAAAAUAACUUACCUCCUCAUCAUCUAAUCAAAAUUAAUCGAAUCGAUUUCGAACCAACAGAAAUCAAACGCUUGAUCAAUUUCAAUUCUCUUUUCAAAUCAAACUAAAGGUAUUUAACCUAAUUAUUUCAAACAUUUUUCAUAAAUCGAAUGAAAAAGGAC
rnacentral:lncRNA from 1 species